rnacentral:rRNA from 1 species
GAUGAACGCUAGCGGGAGGCCUAACACAUGCAAGCCGAGCGGUAUUGUUUCUUCGGAAAUGAGAGAGCGGCGUACGGGUGCGGAACACGUGUGCAACCUGCCUUUAUCUGGGGGAUAGCCUUUCGAAAGGAAGAUUAAUACUCCAUAACAUAUUGAUUGGCAUCAAUUGAUAUUGAAAGCUCCGGCGGAUAGAGAUGGGCACGCGCAAGAUUAGCUAGUUGGUAAGGUAACGGCUUACCAAGGCUGCGAUGUCUAGGGGUCCUGAGAGGGUGAUCCCCCACACUGGUACUGAGACACAGACCAGACUCCUACGGGAGGCAGCAGUGAGGAAUAUUGGUCAAUGGGCGUAAGCCUGAACCAGCCAUCCCGCGUGAAGGAAGAAGGCGCUAUGCGUCGUAAACUUCUUUCCAGUAGGAAUAAAAUUUUGUACGAGUACAGAACUGAA